GCCUCCAUAGCUCAGAGAUUAGAGCACUGGUCUUGUAAACCAGGGGUCGUGAGUUCGAUUCUCACUGGGGGCU
rnacentral:tRNA from 1 species